GAUGAACGCUGGCGGCGUGCCUAAUACAUGCAAGUCGAGCGAACAGACGAGGAGCUUGCUCCUCUGACGUUAGCGGCGGACGGGUGAGUAACACGUGGAUAACCUACCUAUAAGACUGGGAUAACUUCGGGAAACCGGAGCUAAUACCGGAUAAUAUAUUGAACCGCAUGGUUCAAUAGUGAAAGACGGUUUUGCUGUCACUUAUAGAUGGAUCCGCGCCGCAUUAGCUAGUUGGUAAGGUAACGGCUUACCAAGGCAACGAUGCGUAGCCGACCUGAGAGGGUGAUCGGCCACACUGGAACUGAGACAACGGCCAGACUCCUAAGGGAGGGAGGCAUAGGGAAUCUUCCGCAAUGGGCGGAAGCUUGACGGAGCAAAGGCGCGGGGGUGAUGAAGGUCUUCGGAUCGUAAAACCUUGUUAUUGAGGAAAAACAAAUGUGGAAGGAAAUAUGCACGUCUUGGCGGUAACCUAUCAAAAAGCCACGGCUAACUACGUG
rnacentral:rRNA from 1 species